rnacentral:rRNA from 1 species
CCUACGGGAGGCUGUAGUGAGGAAUUUUGCGCAAUGGGGGAAGCCCUGACGCAGCAACGCCGCGUGGGUGAUGAAGGCCUUCGGGUCGUAAAGCCCUGUCGGGCGGGAAGAACGUCCCUUCGGGGAGUGACGGUACCGCCAGAGGAAGCACCGGCGAACGCCGUGCCAGCAGCCGCGGUAAUACGGAGGGUGCAAGCGUUAUGCGGAAUUACUGGGCGUAAAGGGCGUGCAGGCGGGAGAGCAAGGCUGAUGUGAAAGCCCGGGGCUUAACCCCGGAAGGGCAUUGGAAACUGCUUUUCUUGAGUUCUGGAGAGGAAGGGAGAAUUCCCGGUGUAGAGGUGAAAUUCGUAGAGAUCGGGAGGAACAUCAGUGGCGAAGGCGCCCUUCUGGACAGCAACUGACGCUGAGACGCGAAAGCGUGGGGAGCAAACA